ACGAGCAUCCCAAGGGCAGCAAGGCUGCAGGACUUUGGGUCACUACGAAACGCUGAUUCACCAAAUCCCCAGCUAGCCCUUAGAACAGAUCGUUAUUCUGCUGGAAGCGUUUGCUCUGGAGGUAAAACUCUGCUCGUGAUUAUAGCCAAGUGCAGC